UGCACCGGAUCCCAUCAGAACACCGCAGUUGAGCGUGCUUGGGCGAGAGUAGUACUAGGAUGGGUGACCUCCUGGGAAGGCCUCGUGUUGCUCCCC
rnacentral:rRNA from 1 species